UUACAAGGAGGAAUUGUGGUCAUCAGUAACAACAGAAAGCCCUCAGUAAACUCCCGAGGGAUUGCAAGCUGGCCCAAGCUGGCCCCCUCAGCUUUGGACUGCUUCUGCAAGAAUCGGCUUCUGGUCUCCUGAUAACUGAAGUGGAGACAGAAGCUGACAGAAGCUGAGCCUGUUUUCCAGGCAAACUAAAGCUGCUUUUGUUCUUCGGAAUCUGCUUUGCCUCCGUCAGCCUGGUUCCUUCCCCACAUGCUGGCCGCACUGUCCCCACUCCAGACCUCUGCUGCGUGUCCUGGCAGCUCGGCAGUGGCCUUUCAACGCAUCCUAAGCUUCGUGUAGAUUACUUUAGUAUAUAUUUUUUAUAAAACAUAAAGCCUUUCCUCUCGAUGGAAAUCAAAGCUUACCAUGUGAGCACUCGAACUUCUGAGUUCUGACGGGAAUAACAAAACUGCAAGGAGUGGAAAAGAUGGAAAAGCUGUGGGAAAUCCGAGGCCUUUUGAAGGAAGGGAGCUGAUGACUUCACGACCAGCUCCUGGAGCCCGUCCUUUCUGCUGAAGCCGCGGCAUUUCCCUCCGUGGCCACACGAGGGCACCCUUGGCCCUUUUAUCAAAGCGCCUUCACUUCCCCGUGGGAAUGGAGACAAGUCUGUCCAUGGUGUUUUCUUGAAAUACCCAGUUGCUACCCAGAUUUGUAUUUUUAUGUAAACAAAUACAUUUUCACAGAAAUAAAAUUUGAAAAAUAAAAGUAGAAAGAGAAAAAAA
rnacentral:sRNA from 1 species